rnacentral:rRNA from 1 species
UACGUAGGGGGCAAGCGUUGUCCGGAUUUAUUGGGCGUAAAGAGCGUGUAGGCGGCUCGGUAAGUCCGCUCUGAAAGCCCGGGGCUCAACCCCGGGAGGCGGGCGGAUACUGUCGAGCUAGAGUCCGGAAGAGGCGAGUGGAAUUCCUGGUGUAGCGGUGAAAUGCGCAGAUAUCAGGAGGAACACCAAUGGCGAAGGCAGCUCGCUGGGACGGUACUGACGCUGAGACGCGAAAGCGUGGGGAGCAAACAGG